rnacentral:rRNA from 1 species
GUCAGUUUGUGCCUUUGUUUAGGUCAGUUGCCAGGCUGAUUUAUAUGUGUUCUAUAAAAACUCAGCUUAGGAUGUCGCUGCAGUAUUGGAUCAUCAUAAGAAGUUGGAAUCUACUAAUCAGGAUCAACCAAAAUGGAUAGUCCCAUUAACUACAUGCCAUUUCUAGCUCAAAAAGUAAUUUGUAGAUUAAUUCAACGGCAGUGUUCUUUAGUAUGCAGGUUAGUCAUCAUUUGUAUGAACAAUUUUUGCAUGCGUGGAAAAGAAAAGCUCGUGAUGGGAACGAGCGGUGCCCUGGCCGGAUGUGUGGUGAUAUUGCUGCUGUUGUGUGCAUGCCUUUGGGGGAGGCGGGCAGUUGUGUGGUGGUGUUGUGGUGAGAGACUGAGAGAGAGAUUGGGAGGCAGUAAGUUGUGAGAGAUUGAGGGAUGACAGAGGCUUAUGGUAGGAUUGGUAUUUCACCGGUGAGCUUGCUCCCUUGGUUUCCUUUCUGUUUCCAUGUUCCAGUUUAUGAUCUCCUAUUGCUGAUCUAGGUUGAUGGUCGAGCUGCAAUCUAAAUUUGGAGCGUGUCCUUUUGUUGGUGCCGUCGUUCUCUCCUCCAUGACCGUCGUCGUCACAAGCCCAAGUAUCUUGGCUGGGUAUCGACAUAAUUGGUGCACCUAGGUCCGUAUCUCCAUGUCUCUCAAAAAAAGAGCAACGAGCUAUCUACAUUUAGUCUGAAUGUAGUUAUAUUCUUAUUGACUUCCAAUUUCUAAGCC